AUUCUUGCGUAGAGAUAAUGUCAUAGUUUAUGACAUUUAUCUGAGGUGUGAUGAUUGCUAGUUAAAAACUUUACCUAAUUUUCUGCCUGGAUGACUUGAAAAAUAAUUAGCUGUGGCAAUUUUUGAGAGUUUCUGAAGAGA